AAGGUGAAACCGCGAAAGGCUCAUUAAAUCAGUUAUGGUUCCUUAGAUCGUACCCACAAUUACUUGGAUAACUGUGGUAAUUCUAGAGCUAAUACAUGCAAACAGAGCUCCGACCGGAGACGGAAGGAGUGCUUUUAUUAGAUCAAAACCAAUCGGUGGCGGGCUCGUCAUCGUAUAACUUGGUGACUCUGAAUAACUUUACGCUGAUCGCACGGUCAUCGCACCGGCGACGCAUCUUUCAAAUGUCUGCCUUAUCAACUGUCGAUGGUAGGUUCUGCGCCUACCAUGGUUGUAACGGGUAACGGGGAAUCAGGGUUCGAUUCCGGAGAGGGAGCCUGARAAACGGCUACCACAUCCAAGGAAGGCA
rnacentral:rRNA from 1 species